AUUGAACGCUGGCGGCAGGCCUAACACAUGCAAGUCGAACGGUAACAGGAAGAAGCUUGCUUCUUUGCUGACGAGUGGCGGACGGGUGAGUAAUGUCUGGGAAACUGCCUGAUGGAGGGGGAUAACUACUGGAAACGGUAGCUAAUACCGCAUAACGUCGCAAGACCAAAGAGGGGGACCUUCGGGCCUCUUGCCAUCGGAUGUGCCCAGAUGGGAUUAGCUAGUAGGUGGGGUAACGGCUCACCUAGGCGACGAUCCCUAGCUGGUCUGAGAGGAUGACCAGCCACACUGGAACUGAGACACGGUCCAGACUCCUACGGGAGGCAGCAGUGGGGAAUAUUGCACAAUGGGCGCAAGCCUGAUGCAGCCAUGCCGCGUGUAUGAAGAAGGCCUUCGGGUUGUAAAGUACUUUCAGCGGGGAGGAAGGGGGUAAAGUUAAUACCUUUGCUCAUUGACGUUACCCGCAGAAGAAGCACCGGCUAACUCCGUG
rnacentral:rRNA from 1 species